rnacentral:rRNA from 1 species
CAGAAUCCCGUGAACCAUCGAGUCUUUGAACGCAAGUUGCGCCCGAGGCCACUCGGCCGAGGGCACGCCUGCCUGGGCGUCACGCCGCCCACCGCCCCCUCCCGCGGCAUUCCCGUGCCCGGCCGGGGAGCGGAGACUGGCCGUCCGUGCCCGAGCCCUCGGCGCGCGGUCGGCGGAAAAGGAGGACACCGUGCGGCGCGACACGGCGUGUGGGGGUCGAGGGGCGAUCCGUCGCCCGAUCGUGCGCCGCGCCCGCAUUCCGCCGCGCGCAGUGUCACCCGUGGGACCAGACCCGCCCGCAGCAGCGGGCGCCCGGACCGCGACCCCAGGUCAGGCGUGGCCACCCGCUGAAUUUAAGCAUAUCAAUAAGCGGAGGAGAAGAAACUUACGAGGAUUCCCCUAGUAACGGCGAGCGAA